CCUCUCUUUAUCUUUAAACUUUGGCAUUUUAAUUAUGAUGUGUCUUGGUGUGGUCCUCUUUGAAUCCAUCUUGUUUAUAACUCUCUGUGCUUCCCGGACUUGUGUGUCUAUUUCUUUCACCAAAUUAGAGAGAGAGGAAGAGGGAGAGAGAGAGAGAGAAACAUCCGUGUGAGAGAGAAACAACACUUGUUCGCUUCCCCUGUGCUCCCUGACCCGGCUGCAACCUGCAACAUUUUGGUGUGCAGGACGACAUUCCAACCAACUGAGCCACCCGACCAGUUAAGAAAACAGAGGCCCCAGGAGGUCGCGGUGUCACUACUGGUCACAGCCCAGCGAGAGCUGGAGCUGACGGGCCUUGCUUCCCAGCCCCUGAUGGUUUCCCUGCUGCAGCUCAGUAACACUUACGGACACAACACAGGACACACACGGCAACAUGUGACAUCUUUACCAAACGUGAUGGCAGUGGCACAUUCAGGACGAAACCUGCCAGUGGUCAGGACAAACACCCGGUGUGAACAAAUCACUGUCCCAGACCUACUGGUUCUUCUUAACCAGUUGUAAACCUCCAGUUAUUAUCACUGGAAUCAUCACAGAAUGGGAAACACCAGAAUGUUUGUUUAUUCGUCGGAAUAACUACCCACUAGCUUCCACGACAGACCAACUCGGAAAUCUAAAGGACUUUACACAACACGAAUUUAUUUCUCAUUCACACAAAAUGAUAGUUGAUCAGCAAGACUUCUUUUCCACUCAGAGACCCUGGGUUCCUCCAUCUUGUGACGCUACCAUACUGAUCCGUGGCUUCCUAAGUCAGUGCAGGACGGAUAGAAGAGCUGAAGGAGUGAGUCAUCCUAGAUCUCACCGGUGCCUGACACUUCUGCUUUCCUUUCCGCAGGCCAGGAUGCGACCCAGGUCUCUAACCUAACUGCCAGGAAGAGUAGAAAAUGCAGGGAAGCACAUCAAUCGCUUUGCGCCUCUACAGCCCAAGUACCUAUAGGGAUUUCUGUCCGACAUCACACAUUUAUUCAGUUGUUGGUGCUGCUGACCCAUGGCCUGAUUCUGGACUUCUUUUCUUCACUAACCAGCUCUAUCACACUCUCUCCAAUCUCAGAGGUGGUGUUCAGGAGGGACAAUCUGAUUGGCUUGUUUAUCUUCCUUGUGUGUUUGGGUAGAGGCCUUGUUCAAGGCCACGUGAAACGCACUGGCCAGUCUACAGACAGACUGCCUGAUUACGUCACGCCUGGGUUAGCCAUCUCUGGAAAAGACUUUGGGAAUCCAUUGCAUUGGAAUUUGAAAAUAAACAAAUAAAUGUAGGGUGUGGCAAAAGUAGGUUUACAGUUAUGAGUACAUGAAACAGUUUAUUGUUGUAUUUUAUUUAUUAAUUAUUGUAUUAUUUUCCAUAAGCACAACUGUAAACAUCCU